rnacentral:rRNA from 1 species
AGACGUCUACAUUAGAUACCCCGGUAGUCCCAGCCGUAAACUAUGCGCGUUAGGUGUAUCGGUGACCACGAGUCACCGAGGUGCCGAAGGGAAACCGUGAAACGUGCCGCCUGGGAAGUACGGUCGCAAGGCUGAAACUUAAAGGAAUUGGCGGGGAGCACCACAACAGGUGGAGCCUGCGGUUUAAUUGGAUUCAACGCCGGACAUCUCACCGGAUAAGACAGCUGAAUGAUUGUCAAUCUGAAGGUUUUACAUGACUAGCUG